GCCUUCAAUCCUUUCUUUUUUGGCUCAUUCUUCUCCUCCGGAAUUAAACGGGCAUUAAAAGCUCCAGGCAACGAUUCGAAACGAGACCUAAGCAUUCCUAAUGUUCGAAUCUCUCCAAGACGUCUGAAUGCGCCAUAGACACCUCCAAAUAAUGUGGAAAAUAUGGCAUACCAAAUCUGGGCAUCCAUAAAAUAUACAAGAAUAAUUGGAGCCCAGAGAGCAAUCACAACUCCAAUAUUGUUCCUUGCACGAGGAAAGAACUCAUGCCACUGGAAAGUAGUAACACGAACAUCCAUAACAGCUUUUGUUGGACCAACUAAAGGCCUUAUCUCUACGUAGUAACUAAAUGCCAACUUCGUAACAAUGAGCAGAACCCAAAACACUGUAUACUUGAAGAGAGACAGUGCACUCUCAUGCAUUCCUCGUCCAACAUAGAGCCGUGGCUGUGACCACCACAUCAUGAGCAUCACAAUCUUAUAGUUUGAGCCCUCAAGGAAUCGACGUAUGAAGGGAAAAAGAAACAGUAUU
rnacentral:misc_RNA from 1 species